AGUGAACGCUGGCGGUAGGCCUAACACAUGCAAGUCGAACGGCAGCACAGUAAGAGCUUGCUCUUACGGGUGGCGAGUGGCGGACGGGUGAGGAAUACAUCGGAAUCUACUUUUUCGUGGGGGAUAACGCAGGGAAACUUACGCUAAUACCGCAUACGACCUACGGGUGAAAGCAGGGGAUCUUCGGACCUUGCGCGAUUGAAUGAGCCGAUGUCGGAUUAGCUAGUUGGCGGGGUAAAGGCCCACCAAGGCGACGAUCCGUAGCUGGUCUGAGAGGAUGAUCAGCCACACUGGAACUGAGACACGGUCCAGACUCCUACGGGAGGCAGCAGUGGGGAAUAUUGGACAAUGGGCGCAAGCCUGAUCCAGCCAUACCGCGUGGGUGAAGAAGGCCUUCUGGUUGUAAAGCCCUUUUGUUGGGAAAGAAAAGCAGCAGGUUAAUACCCCGCUGUUCUGACGGUACCCAAAGAAUAAGCACCGGCUAACUUCGUG
rnacentral:rRNA from 1 species